UUCCGUAGGUGAACCUGCGGAGGGAUCAUUG
rnacentral:rRNA from 3 species